GAUGGCUGUGUCUCAUGUGACCUUGUUAUUUGUACACACUGUGACUAUACAAAUCACAACAUGUAAAUAGGAAAAUGUUGGCAUUAUUUUGUCGCUUAUUGGGAGCAUUGAGCUAGAUGGAGUUACGACACGCACGGAGAUGAGAAGGACAAUAAGGUACAGCUUCAUCUUGCCAGUGAUGGCGGCAAUGACUACAGAGAAGCACCAGGUGAAGGUUCACUGAGAGGCAGCCUCUCUUUUGCAGGAACG